GGAUAGGUGGGAUUAUGACGAAACACUAGGCGUUGGUUUCACCUAAUUCGGAGAAAUGAGUAAAAAGUUAUGGCUAUUUGAAAAAAUCAAGGCCAAGCUGUUUUACAGAAGAAAAGUUCUAUGUCUAUAAGAAUUCUAGGACUAAUGUGUAAAUACAGAGACUAAUUGAUAAAUCUAAUUACUCUGCCGUAUACUAGUGUAGGAAUACUAGUCUAGAAAUAAUAAACUAUGGGAGUACAAAAGAAAAAUACGAAGAGAAAUACCAUUAGAAUGCCGAGUAAGAAUUAAUUCCAAAGAGGAGACCACUUCAGAAAUCCCGUCGGAGAGAAGAAAAUAUUUUUAUUCAAUAAACCUAGUCAAACCAAAAGAUUGACUUAACCCGAAGUAGAUGAUUUCUGGAUGCUCCUAUGGAUCUAUAUUUACAGGUGGAAAGAAGGUCUAAAGGUCAAUAAAUAGGCAAUGUGGCACUAAACAUAUAUGUAAC
rnacentral:lncRNA from 1 species